UACGUAGGGUGCAAGCGUUAAUCGGAAUUACUGGGCGUAAAGCGUGCGCAGGCGGUGAUGUAAGACAGGUGUGAAAUCCCCGGGCUUAACCUGGGAACUGCAUUUGUGACUGCAUCGCUGGAGUGCGGCAGAGGGGGAUGGAAUUCCGCAUGUAGCAGUGAAAUGCGUAGAUAUGCGGAGGAACACCGAUGGCGAAGGCGGCAUCCUGGACCGAGAUUGACGCUGAGGCGCGAAAGCCAGGGGAGCAAACGGG
rnacentral:rRNA from 1 species